rnacentral:rRNA from 1 species
AUGAUGAUUAAUUAUAUAUUUUAUAUUAUAAUAAUGCAGAUGAAUCGGCAAUGGAUGUACGGUAACCGACUCUCCGGCGAGUUCACUACGGGUUUGAAAGAUUUCCUCGUAGUGGCUAAUGCGAACAAGCAGGGGGGUUUUGUUAUCUGUCCAUGUGUUAUCUGUAAGAAUCAGAAGGGUUACUCUUCCUCAAGAGAUGUUCACAUGCAUCUGCUUCAGCACGGUUUCAUGCCAAGCUAUAAUUGUUGGACCAAGCAUGGAGAAAGAGGGGUUAUAAUGGAAGAAGAUGAAGAAGGGGAUGAUUUCAUCGAUGAAAGCUAUCUUGCUCAUUUCGGUGAUACUUUCAUGGAGGAUGCUGAAGGUGAAGGGGAAGGUGAAGAAGAGGCACGUGAUGAUCCCGUUGAUGAUCUUGGUCGGACCAUUGCUGAUGCACGGAGACACUGCGAAACUGAAAAGGAGAGGGAGAAUUUGGAUCGCAUGUUAGAGGAUCACAGAAAGGCGCUGUACCCCGGAUGCGAUGAUGGUCUGAAAAAGCUGGGCUGCACACUGGAUUUGCUGAAAUGGAAGGCAGAGGCAGGUGUAGCUGACUCGGCAUUUGAAAACUUGCUGAAAAUGUUGAAGAAUAUGUUUCCAAAGGAUAACGAGUUGCCCGCCAGUACGUACGAAGCAAAGAAGGUUGUCUGCCCUCUAGGUUUAGAGGUUCUGAAGAUACAUGCAUGCAUCAACGACUGCAUCCUCUACCGCGGUGAAUACGACAAUUUGAAUGAAUGCCCGGUAUGCACUGCA